CAUCACUGUUACGGGAGGAGAGAAGAGAUCCUCUUCCCUCAACACAGAAUGGCUGCUUCUUAAUCAAUUAGUUUCAGCGUUUGUACCUCUCUCUCUGGAUCGAUGUCAUCCUACAGUCUCUUCUUGAGCAAGGCGUGGUGAGAUCGUGCACCAGCUCGUACAAUACACCUGUCAAUCCAGUACCUAAACCUGAUGGUACCUGGCGUUUUACACAAGAUUUACGACUCUGUGGUCUGUGUGUUCUGGUAUCUGCUGAGUCACCAGAAAUCUGCCGAGACACUGACACUUGCGCCUGCUCCAACAUCUGGCGCAUAAGGGCUUUAAGGUUUUCAGGACCAAGCUGCAAUAUUGCAUGGACACUUAAGUAUUUGAACUUUUGAAGUUUUGAACUUUCUCAAGGCUGUCAUUCUAGACACAAAACGCCCUGCAACUAAACAUGCACUGAUGUCUUUUCUGGGUCAGAAAAUGGAUCCCUGACUGCUCUUUAUAUGACAAGCUUCUCCAUUCUGCAAUCUCUCAUCACGAUCCACUGCAACAUCCUUUGACCUGGACUGACACUAUGGUGGUCGCUUAUCACUCCCUCAAAAGCACCCUUUGUUCUGCCCCUGGGGUUACCUGAUCACUUCAAGCCCUUCCACCUCUAUGCCUGUGAACACCAAGGCACAGCUGUUGGCCGGGAGCAUGGAGGGGGGGAAUGCGUCAUUGUGUGUUUUUAUCCAAAACAUUAGACAUUGUUGCUCAAGGCUUACCUGCGUGUCUGGGGGCUGUCUCUGCAUGUGCUUUGAUGGUUUUAGAUGCGGAAAAAUUGGUUUUGUCUCACCCACUGAUCUUGCACUCGUCACAUCAAGUUAAACAGGUGUUGCAAAAUUUACAGACCCAUUAAAUUAAUUUAUCAGUAAUUUAAUAGAUAAUUAAAUUAACA